rnacentral:sRNA from 1 species
UUGAGGAAUGAUCAGUGAACGUGGUCGC